rnacentral:rRNA from 1 species
UACGGAGGAUGCGAGCGUUAUCCGGAUUUAUUGGGUUUAAAGGGUGCGCAGGCGGAUUUUUAAGUCAGCGGUAAAAAUUCGGGGCUCAACCCCGUCCGGCCGUUGAAACUGGGGGUCUUGAGUGGGCGAGAAGAAGGCGGAAUGCGUGGUGUAGCGGUGAAAUGCAUAGAUAUCACGCAGAACCCCGAUUGCGAAGGCAGCCUUCCGGCGCCCUACUGACGCUGAGGCACGAAAGUGCGGGGAUCGAACAGG